UAUCAUAAAAAUUAUUCCUGGAAAUUCGAUGGACCAAUUAAAGGGCCAGGACGACAGGUAAGAAAAUAAUUAUGUUUCUCCAGUUGUUGACUACUAUUACAUACAGUGCAUGCUGCCUCAGUGUGGGACCUGACAUCCUGUGGUUAGACACCAUUCAAAAUGUUGAUCAGCUCCAUCUUUUGAAUAUGUGUGUGUGGGUGUUGUUGCAUAAACUUUGCUAUUUGAUGUGGUUGAUUUAAACCUGGCUGCGGUUCGAUUAUGACAUCUAAUGAACUCUGAUCUUUCUGAAUAUGUACAUCAGCUUAAUUCUAGACUUAGGCUGUAUAAUGUAAUGAAGAGCAGGCUGCCACAGGCAAUGAACAAGAUGACUUUGAAUUCUCGAAGGCCUAUGAUCCAGUUAUAAGCCACUCAUGGAAACGGAUUCGAGAGGCUAACGAAGAUAAAUAUUCAUUUUGCUCAAACAAGUUAAAGAAGAAGAGGAAACACUACCCUAGUCAGAUCAAGAAAAUGCACCGAGUUGUUCAGGGAAAGGGAAUCAUGUCAACUCAAUUCAGGAGUGAUGACCAAGAGGGCCAUAAUGAGCCUUUUGAUGGAUAAUUAUGACACUAAGUCAAGCCGGAUACAAAGUACAGGAUAAUGUUUCAAAGUCAGAAACAGAGCCGUCUGGAAUUCCAGUUCCAUUGCUGUCUGCAUAUCUCAUCAGUGCAUGUACAUGAACAGCGUGCUUUCAACUCAUUGGACAACUCUCUCCGGUCGUUUGUUAUACAGGGAAUCAAUAGAAUCGAUUCCUCUUUGAAUGUAAGUAUAUUAUCUUUUUCGUGCGUAUAAUUGCAUGCAUAUAAUAUAAUUAUAGAGAGAUGAAGUAUAAUUAUAUUCAUGUAGUUGGUCUGUUGAUCUAUUAACUUCACAGCUAGAGCAUGGAGUUUCUUUUUGUCUCACGCUGUGGGUUGCACUUCAGUGAUGGUAUACAGUGGGUAUAUACUGGUGCAGUUGUGAUAGUGCACGUGGCCACUUACUAAAUAGCUGCUCCACUUCGGUUGAUUCCACAUAUGAUGCAUUCACAAGCAUUGUGUUGGCUCUGAAUGUAUCCACAUCGAAGCAAUUAGACUGAUUAUCCAAGAGACUGACAAUAUUCACAACAUUACAUCAGCUCAAGAAUUAUCAGAUCAUUCGUAUACUUUGAAUAUUGAACCUCACAAGGAGGACACCUCCUACAGUAUAAAUGUUGGCACAGAAGCGGAUUCGGAAGUUCAGGAAUCCCCAACAUUCCUUUCACUAUCUUAUAUGAACGAUUCUCAUCAGCACCUGAAGUCAUCAUAUACGACAAUAGUUGCAACCUGCACCAAUACUGCUUGAAUAGAGAGCCCUCCUUUUUCAGGCACAGUCGGUUUCUAGUAGAUCGUUUCCAUUGGCCAAAUCAUUCAGGAUGCAGUGUUGCUUACAAAAUGAGCACCUAUAGACAAAUAUGAUGCCUUGAACAGCCAGAUGGUAGAGCAAAGCAAUUCAUGCUUGAAGAGAAUCAAAUCGUCACUGUCGUAUAUGAAUAAAAGAAAUUUCCUCACACAUUGUGGAUUUUAUCUAUAUGGUAUCACAAUCAGAAAAAAACUAUAAGUAUAAUGUACUCACAUGCAUGAUGGUCUUGUCAUGCACUUUUUGUUUUUACAACCAUGAAUUUAAAAUUGUGGUAUCACUUG